ensembl:lncRNA
UGAUAUGAACUCCUUAAAGAACGUGAAGGAGUGUAAGAGAGAAAAGAUUCUGCUCCUCCAUUCAGUGGUAAAGACCAGCUACAAGAUAUGGAUGGUAGAAUUUAGGAAGCUUUAAGAAAACCUAUGCAAGAGCUAGUUCUUAGCCUUUCCUGGAACAUUGUCCCAGUUGUGACUUUACUGAAAACAUGGACUCUUAUUAGAACCACCUGGGGAGUUUGAAAAAUUAAGGCAGCCCUGGCUCCCGGCUGGAGAUUCUGGUUCAAUUGGCUUGGAUGAGGCCUGGCAGUGGGAUUUGUAAGACUUCCCAGGUGAUUCUAACAUGCAGCCAGGGCUGAGCACCUCUGAUGGAACAUCUCCGUCCUUUUAGAGAUGAGGAAAUUGAAGCUUAGAGAACUACCUGCGUCUCGACCAAGACAUUCUGUUUCUUACAAUUCUACUUUAAAUGAAUAUUUGAAUGCUCACAGAUUAUCCUUUUAAAUCUCAGCAUCUCCAUUCUUGAAUUCAUUGUGUCUCUCUCAGAUGGCUGGACGUCGUGGAAUGUCUUCUUUCAGGAAGGAGACGUGGGCUUCUACUUUCUAAGUCCCGGCAUAAAAAUGCUUUUCCCCUGCAUUCUCGCUUGGAUGGCCACUUUAUUAAAGCAGACUUUCUCGAUUCUACUGUGCAUGCGAAUCACCUGGGGAGCUUGUUAACUGAAGAGUCAGAUGGAGAAGUUUUGGAUGGAGGCUGCAGUGCUAUAUUCCCAUUUCUAACAUGCUCUCAGGUGAUGCUGCCCUGCUGGUGGCUCGUGAACGACACCUUGAGUAGCAAGAGUGAAGUGGAGUCUGCCCACAGACUUUUCCGCUCCCUUUGUCAAGGGCCUUCAGGGAAUUUUUCUUGUUAUCCCUUUAUGAGAACCCCACCCUUAGCCACAGGGAUUGCUCUGUGGUUAUUGGAGGAGUGAAGGUUUAUUUCCCCCGAGAUCGUUAUACUGAGAAGCUUGUUAGUCAGAGUAGCCAGGAGACAUCGUGACUGCUAUCGGGUGAGACUGUUUAUCAAAGCCAAGUAGAAUCAAGUUGAGAGACGGAUGGAGAGUUCUGAUGUCUGAUGUCAUCACUUGAGCCUCUGGAAUUAAUUGUAGCUAAAGAUUUAUCCACAGAAUUUCCCAGAUGUCUGGGAACUCAGCUGGGAAGUCUCAAUGACCUGGGGCUGAAAUCAUCUGGAGCUGCCUUCACUUCAUAACUGCCUUGCAGUUGAUGUUGGCUACAAACUAGCAUCUCACCUGGGACUACCUCAACCGGAAUACCUGCACAGGCAUUCUACAUAGAGCCUGGACUUCCUCACAACAUGGCAGCCGCAGGGUAGUUGGACUUCUUGUACGUGACUCAUAGAUUCCAGUACGAAGGUGGAUAAGAUAUGCCAACCGAGGCCAAGAGAAGUGAAGUGCUUUGCCCAAGGUUGCACAGCUAUUAACGAUCUGCAGGGCAGACGGAUGGAAGGUAGAGAAGAGCAAGGUCAAGGUGGAAGCCAUGGACAUGAAUAGGAGCCUGCAAGGAUCAACCCAAACCCAUGUCAGUUCUCACUGCCUCCAACUUGAAUGAAGUGGGUGUCCUGCAAGAGAGGCCGGCACCCUUCGUCACACAAGUGAACACACACCUCGCCCUGGAGAUGGUGAAGCUGAAGGAGGAUCAGGGGAAGGUGGAGCCAGUCGCAGGUCCAAUGGCUGCCCUGGACCAAUGAGAGGAAUAAAAGAAGAGGAAGACCCCGGCAACCUAAGCUUUGGAGGUCUUCGCAAGCUGGUUUAAUUUGCUCUCGCCCUCUUCCUUUGAUGUGGGAUGUCAGAGUCUGCUCACCAAAAGCUGCUGAAGAUUUCUUGCAAGAGCCACUAGGACCUGGUUCCUUCCUUGGGGCCUCUCAUUGGCUCCUCUAAGCCUGGCUUCUGCCUCCCAUAAACCACAGGAAAUUCCAGCACAAGGUAAAGAGUUCUCCAAUGGACACAGGUCCUGGAUAUUUCUUAAUUUCGAGUUCUUCCACCUCUUAUGCAUUGUCAGCCCCGUCAGAGCUUUGCUUGGAUGACAAGCGCAGAUGUCACUUCUCGCUGCAUUUGUUGUUUCUGUGUCUGUGGUAGUGCUGAUUCCUGGCCACUCCGACCUCCUGCUCUUCAGGCCUUAAUCUGAGCUAUUGCGAAGCCUCAGCAAAAGCUGACUGUGAAGCUUGGUCCUGAUGCUGACAGGGGCAAUCUCAUGGCAGAAAGAGGGCAGAGUGAGCAGACCUGGGUUUGGAUCCCAGCUCCAACUCUCUCUACCUUCCUAGUGUAUUAAUCAUGUUUUUUGUAUUCUGUUUUUUAUGACGUUUUGACAUCUAAAAAAAUCUGUCUGGGAAGACAACUGCUCCUGCUUCUGCUUUCUGACCAAAACCCAGUGUUCCUCCUGUGGCCCUGCGUGAUGAGCCAGGCCUCUUGUUUCUAGCAGGAUUGUGUGUAACAUUAAACUUUUCUUUCAACAGCACUGACCUCUCAGUGUCAUCACUCAGUCACCUUUAUAAAUUAAGACCCAGACACAAAGCAUGUGGCUGUGGUUAGGUUUUGCCCACGUGCUAACAGCUUUCAUCUUCAUCUCAUGCCCGCCACUCCCAUUGCUGCAGCCCGAGCUUACAUUGUCUUUAGAACUCUUGAUCUCUGAAGAAAAGCAAUGUUCUUUUUAUCCUGGCAUUCAUGUAAAUCCCCCCAGAGGGCUCUGAUUGGUCUUACUUGGGUAUUGUGUCCAAAAUGAAGCCAAUUAAUGUGUCCAGCUGUUGUGGAAAUGAGGCCACUGAUGGCCCAUCUUGGUGACAUGCUCAACCCUAUGGUAGAAGAGGCAAAGCCGCUUGAUGGACAGUGCCACCAGAAUCACUUUGAGAGAUGGAGUCAGUUACCAAAAGGAACGGAUACAGAACACAUAAAAAGGAAUGCAUUUCUUAUAUGCUGACGUGUCAUGCAUUCGGAAAGUAGGCCAUUUGAAAACUUAGGAUUGGAUUAAUUCAACUCUAGAAGUGCCAAGACCUAAGAAACCCAGCAUGUGACCAAAAAAUUAGAGUGAGACCCUUUUGCCUGGUUAAAGCAUAAUGAGAAAUUGGGGAGGGGAGAAUUUCGCAUUCUAAUUUUGGGAGACUUUUA